CACGUAGGGGGCAAGCGUUGUCCGGAUUUAUUGGGCGUAAAGGGCUCGUAGGCGGUUCGCCAAGUCGGGUGUGAAACCUCCAGGCUCAACCUGGAGUCGCCGCUCGAAACUGUUGUGACUAGAGUCCGGUAGAGGAGCAUGGAAUUUGUGGUGUAGCGGUGGAAUGCGCAGAUAUCACAAGGAACACCAGUAGCGAAGGCGAUGCUCUGGGCCGGUACUGACGCUGAGGAGCGAAAGCAUGGGGAGCGAACAGG
rnacentral:rRNA from 1 species